rnacentral:tRNA from 1 species
GCACUAGUCUAAACAAGACAGCUAAUUUCGACUUAGUAAAUUCUGACCCGCCCUCAGAGUGCCCCC